rnacentral:rRNA from 1 species
AGUGAACGCUGGCGGCAGGCCUAACACAUGCAAGUCGAACGGCAGCACAAGAGAGCUUGCUCCCUGGGUGGCGAGUGGCGGACGGGUGAGGAAUGCAUCGGAAUCUGCCCAUUUGUGGGGGAUAACCCCGGGAAACCGGGACUAAUACAGCAUACGACCUACGGGUGAAAGCAGGGGAUCUUCGGACCUUGCGCAGAUGGAUGAGCCGAUGCCGGAUUAGCUAGUUGGAGGGGUAAAGGCCCACCAAGGCGACGAUCCGUAGCUGGUCUGAGAGGAUGAUCAGCCACACUGGAACUGAGACACGGCCCAGACUCCUACGGGAGGCAGCAGUGGGGAAUAUUGGACAAUGGGCGCAAGCCUGAUCCAGCCAUGCCGCGUGUGUGAAGAAGGCCUUCGGGUUGUAAAGCACUUUUGUUGGGAAAGAAAAGCAGCCGGUUAAUACCCGGUUGUCAUGACGGUACCCAAAGAAUAAGCACCGGCUAACUUCGUG